GACGAACGCUGGCGGCGUGCCUAAUACAUGCAAGUCGAACGCAGUGGGGACGGGUGAGUAACCCGUGGGUAACCUCCAAUCAGAGGGGAGAACACUUGGAAACAGGUGCUAAACCGAUAUUGAUGGUUGGACCCGCGGUGCAUUAGCUAGUUGGUGAGGUAACGGCUCACCAAGGCCACGAUGCGUAGCCGAUCUGAGAGGGUGAUCGGCCACACUGGGACUGAGACACGGCCCAGACUCCUACGGGAGGCAGCAGUGGGGAAUCUUCGGCAAUGGACGAAAGUCUGACCGAGCCACGCCGCGUGAGUGAAGAAGGUUUUCGGAUCGUAAAACUCUGUUGUUAGAGAAGCGGUAUCUAAACAGAAAGCACCGGCUAACUACGUGCCAGCAGCCGCGGUAAUUC
rnacentral:rRNA from 1 species